GGUAAAUCCAACUCCAUGGAAAUCAACAGAAGGCUUGCAGUUGGUUUUCGUGGUGUCAUGAUUUCAUUCCAUAUUGACGCUGGCACAUCUGUGUUGUUACCCACCACGCUGUUUGCCCAGAAUGAGGAAGGGAGAAGUGCCAAAGAUCCAAGAAAGCUGCUGGUUCUAUCUCCCCUGUUGCUCUGGACCACCACCACCCAAUGGUAGAGGUGAAGUGGGGGACUGCCAGCACUGACAGAAGACCAAAUCUCAGUCUCAGCUUCAAUUGUUGGACUUUCAGUAGAUCUCUGCUCUAAAAUCUUCAGAAGCACUUACAAAUCAAGGA
rnacentral:lncRNA from 1 species